rnacentral:rRNA from 1 species
UACAGAGGGGGCAAGCGUUGUUCGGAAUUACUGGGCGUAAAGGGCGCGUAGGCGGCCUUCUAAGUCGAACGUGAAAUCCCCGGGCUCAACCCGGGAACUGCGUCCGAUACUGGAAGGCUUGAAUCCGGGAGAGGGAUGCGGAAUUCCAGGUGUAGCGGUGAAAUGCGUAGAUAUCUGGAGGAACACCGGUGGCGAAGGCGCAUCCUGGACCGGCAUUGACGCUGAGGCGCGAAAGCCAGGGGAGCAAACGGG